rnacentral:sRNA from 1 species
UCGCUGGAUUCGGAGGUGACCAUAAAGCCAGUCUCUGAUGCCUACACACAGACUAUACAGUGUGAUGGAAUACAGGCAAAACUUGAAUGAUUAUGAAAUAGGAUUCUAUCCACUGGCUGGCAUGCUGGAAAGCUUUAUGGUCCUCUUGGCACGUGCUACAGUGGGGACUCACAACAGCUCUAUGACAUCAUUGGAAGAGUGAAGUAAAGUACUGGAUGUUUAACUGUAAAGGAGCUUCUUCAAAUGGGAGAAAAGAUGGGAGAUACAUGCCAACAGUGAGUCCAUGCAGAAGUGGCAUCAUAACUGGUGACUAGAAGUGGAAUAAGAGAUUCUUCCUGCAUCACGACUGCUAUAGCACACAGUCAGAAGGAGCAAGUGACUCACUCACACAGCUGCUUGGAGCUACAAUGCCACACAGCCUUUGUCGACCAGCUAUUCCCUGUGAAAGAAGCCUAGUCAGUUUGACCUCUCUUCUGCAUCUUCUAAACUCUUGGCCAAGAUCUUCUGGAAGAUGCUUUCUCACAUCUGAUUUCCUACAAAGUGCCUGCCACAAUCUCGCCCAUCUCUCGCCAACUGGUAUACUGUCUCUGCUUUCCAAAAUUCUAGAUACUCAACAUCAACUCCUACAGAAGACAAAGAAUUAAUAAGAAGUAUGUCCAGAAGACACUAGCCCCACUCUUCCAACCCCAUCACUGUGCUCAGUAGAUUCCCUGGUUUAUAAUCCAACUGGAAGAACUGAGGCAGGCACUCCUGUAUGCUGGCUCCCCAUAUAUGACCAACCACUCACAUAUAAGGUCGGAUGCUCUCCUUUCUCUCUGUCAUCAAGCCACUGAAUUCAUCAGGAAGGAGUCCUCUAUCAGCUCAAGUGCUUUGAGCUCAUGUGCUCUGGGCUCCCCACUAUUUAGUGGGCAGCUCCAGCAGGCAUUGAAAUAGGCUCUUAUCUCAACUUGAACCCGAAACCUGUGACUCUACUUUAUUCUCCAAAUACAGAAGCCCAAAAACCAAGAAGUAGGAAGGUAAUGUCAGUGAUGUCAGUGGUACAGCACUGCGCAUGGUGUAUGGAUGCAUCCCUCUGCGUUGUAAAGAAGAAAAGUCUUCACUCAGAAGUGGGCACCUGCACUGAAAAUUCAUGGAGUUAGAAUACAGGGAUGCGCCUGAUCCAUUCAAUGGUGCAAGAUUGGAGACAGGAUUCUUCCCCAGAAGAAAACCUUAUUAAGAGUUCCAAUGGAGACUGCAGCCUGACUGAUGGUGCUCACAUUUCUUCAACAUCAGUGAGACCACCCUUGGCACAAGUCACAAAAUCUACCUUAUUAUGAGGGUGGACAUGCAAGCUUCAGUCAAAGGCUGUUCUACAGUGAGAAUCUGUGGGAUUCUUCAACGGUGUCUAAGAUGAUGAACAGCAAUGGAAGCCAUGGAAGUGUCCCACAUUAAAAUGAGGGGGAAAGCUGCAAAGGUGGAUACUGGAAAAGAGCAGAAGAUCCUGGGGAUGGUAAUGUCCUCCUAUUUUCAGAAAGCUGCACAUUCUAAGCAUUGCUGGACUUUAGAGAAAAACCCUGAAAAUAUCAAGCAAAUAAGAUCUGUAUCAGCUGGUGAAAUAUA